rnacentral:rRNA from 1 species
GGUUUGCCCACUGAAUUAA